rnacentral:rRNA from 1 species
GACGAACGCUGGCGGCGUGCUUAACACGUGCAAGUCGAACGGAAAGGCCCUGCUUUUGUGGGGUGCUCGAGUGGCGAACGGGUGAGUAACACGUGAGUAACCUGCCCUUGACUUUGGGAUAACUUCAGGAAACUGGGGCUAAUACCGGAUAGGAGCUCCUGCUGCAUGGUGGGGGUUGGAAAGUUUCGGCGGUUGGGGAUGGACUCGCGGCUUAUCAGCUUGUUGGUGGGGUAGUGGCUUACCAAGGCUUUGACGGGUAGCCGGCCUGAGAGGGUGACCGGCCACAUUGGGACUGAGAUACGGCCCAGACUCCUACGGGAGGCAGCAGUGGGGAAUAUUGCACAAUGGGCGGAAGCCUGAUGCAGCUACGCCGCGUGCGGGAUGACGGCCUUCGGGUUGUAAACCGCUUUCGCCUGUGACGAAGCGUGAGUGACGGUAAUGGGUAAAGAAGCACCGGCUAACUACGUG